UGCACGAAUGGCGUAACGAUGGCCACACUGUCUCCUCCUGAGACUCAGCGAAGUUGAAGUGUUUGUGAUGAUGCAAUCUCCCCGCGGCUAGACGGAAAGACCCCAUGAACCUUUACUGUAGCUUUGUAUUGGACUUUGAGGUUGUAUGUGUAGGAUAGGUGGGAGACUAUGAAGAAAUAACGCAAGUUAUUUUGGAGUCGCUAGUGAAAUACCACUCUUACAAGUUUGAGGUUCUAACUUAGGUAGUUACACUAUCAAGGAAAGUGCAUGGUAGGCAGUUUGACUGGGGCGGUCUCCUCCUAAAGAGUAACGGAGGAGUACGAAGGUGCGCUCAGCGUGGUCGGAAAUCACGCGUAGAGUAUAAAGGCAAAAGCGCGCUUAACUGCGAGACCCACAAGUCGAGCAGGUACGAAAGUAGGUCUUAGUGAUCCGGUGGUUCU
rnacentral:rRNA from 1 species